AGGAUACCGGGGUCAAGUGUCACUUCCUCUGGCAGUCAAUCUCCAAUAUUCCUUGUAAUGUUUUUAAAUGGACGAAUUCAUUACUUGGGGACGUGUGAAUGGAGAGUGUUGGAGAGCAGGCUCAAUCAAUAGCGUCCACUGAUGGUUCAUUUUUCACAGCGGAGAGGGGACCGCGGCGCUGAAGGAAGACCUAAUCAAUAUCCGCACCACGGGCUGGAAAAGGUCAUUUAGGGAAGGUGGAAAAGUUCAUGCUCGCGGUCGACGAAGCCUAAUCGCCCCUUGGCUUUCCCUGCGACUCUCUCUACUGAUGUCCUUCUAGCACACUGUCACCAAGAGCUGGCUGCUUAAGCUUUUACAGCUUCUCCACAGCUCACCACAAACAUGGUGGACUGACAAAGCUUCCUGAAAAUGUUCUUUUAUUCUGGGCUCUCCACCUGGCCACCGGUUUCCCCUGAGCAGGAUGGCAGUUGGGAGCAGGAAUUGAACCCACCAGAGUCCAUCCAUUGUUGUGGAGCUCCCGGUUCUGAUAAAUCUCUGGAGCCAGGCACUUGAGGUUCAAGACUGCUAAGGAGCAAGGACUGCAGGAAGUCCCAUCAGUGAGCCUUGGCACUCCUGAAUUUGGCUAUCCACUGAGCAGCAGCUCUCAGCUUCUCAUCCAGCUAGUUCCUGCAAAUGCAUCUUCAGCUGAGUCCAGAACCUGGAUUUCCACUGAGCAUUCAAAUUUGGGGUCCUGUGUCAUGGACUACUGAACUGGAAGCUGCUAGUACCCAGGCUGAUAAAGGCACAAAUGCAGUUGUCUUGUUAGCAGUAUCUGUGAGUUGGGCAUAGGAAAGCAGAGGCCUGAAGGAAAGGCAGGUUGGGAACUCUUACUUCCCAAAGGAUUUACUGAGUAAAAUCCUUGCCUUCCUCCCUCAGUCUCCCUGGUAUAGAGCCAAAGGACUGUUCUCACAGUACCUAUCUCUGUUCCUGCAGGUACACUCCUUGUCUCUCUUUUGGCCUCUAGGCUGACUCACAUUUACCUUGGUCUUCUAGCUAAAAUAGCAGUGCUAGUUAUGGGGAUAAAAAGCAAGAAGAUUUCUCUAACUUUGACAAGGAGCACCACAUAUCCAGAGCCGAGCCAAGGUGUAUCUGAUCUAAGAACCACACAGUGUUAUGGCUAGUUCCAAGCACUUGUCAUCUUCUUCAUAGAUGGCUCUCCUUUCUGUUUUACCAAGGCAUUAAUUAGAUCCAUGUUCUCUAGCCUGCUCCCCCCUGCACACACACACACACACACACACACACACACACACACACACACACACCAAGUUCCAGACCAGUAAAGUAAGACAGGAAAGUUCAAGUUCAGAUAAGAGGAGCAAUCCAUGCAUGGGUUACCCUCUCCAGCUACUCAGGCCCAGCAGCUGCGAACACUUCUUUCUCCAGAGAGUCCAUAGCUUAAAGGUCAGGAAGAGAUAGAAAAGACCGGCCUUUUAAAAGCCUUCUGGAAACAAAUAACUUUUAAAUGAGUCUCUAAUAUGUAACCAGAAUAGAGUUUAGACCAAAGAGGUCCUGGUCUCACCCUAACUCCUAGAAGAUAACAGAGAGAACUCUGAGCCUUAGCAAUAAAAUAAAUUAUCGAUUUGUUUUUAAAGAGGCACCCAACCAUGAAUUAGCAACCCACACCAUUAAAACGUGUGAUCAGCAAGAUUUGGUUUUGCAGAACCCAUUACUUCCUACACACAUGCAUGUCUAUAUUAAAUAUGGAUAAUAAAAAGAAAUUAGAAAGAGAAA